rnacentral:rRNA from 1 species
AGCAGUGGGGAAUCUUGCCCAAUGGGCGAAAGCCUGAGGCAGCAACGCCGCGUGUGGGAUGAAGGCCCUUGGGUUGUAAACCACUUUCAGCAGGGACGAAAAUGACGGUACCUGCAGAAGAAGCCCCGGCCAACUACGUGCCAGCAGCCGCGGUAAGACGUAGGGGGCUAGCGUUGUCCGGAUUUAUUGGGCGUAAAGAGCUCGUAGGCGGCUCAGAAAGUCGGGUGUGAAACCUCCAGGCUCAACCUGGAGACGCCACCUGAUACUGCUGUGGCUAGAGUCCGGUAGGGGAACACGGAAUUCCCGGUGUAGCGGUGAAAUGCUUAGAUAUCGGGAGGAACACCAGUGGCGAAGGCGGUGUUCUGGGCCGGAACUGACGCUGAGGAGCGAAAGCGUGGGUAGCAAACAGGAUUAGAUACCCUGGUAGUCCACGCCGUAAACGUUGGGCACUAGGUGUGGGACCCUAUCGACGGGUUCCGUGCCGUAGCUAACGCAUUAAGUGCCCCGCCUGGGGAGUACGGCCGCAAGGCUAAAACUCAAAUGAAUUGACG